rnacentral:snRNA from 1 species
AGUAUUAUAACCUAUGAGGUUAAACUGAGGUGUUAUUAUUGCUAGUUGAAAACUUUUCCCCCCCAAC